rnacentral:misc_RNA from 1 species
CCAACUGGAAGGCAUGGCUGUCCACAGCAAUAAACUCUUGGGCAUCUCCCAAAAUCAUAAUUUUUAUACUUCUCUAACAUUGCUGACAUUCCCUUGCUAGUAAGUAUAUAUCGCACAUGAAUUAGACCAUACAGCAUCUCCGCUGCAGAUUCCACCAACUCAUUCUGCUCUUCAGUAAACAUAUCGCCAUGAGAGGAUUCGACAUCCAAAAUCAGAUCAAGUGCAUAAUC